rnacentral:rRNA from 1 species
AUUGAACGCUGGCGGCAGGCCUAACACAUGCAAGUCGAACGAGUGGCGGACGGGUGAGUAAUGUCUGGGAAACUGCCCGAUGGCGGGGGAUAACUACUGGAAACGGUAGCUAAUACCGCAUACCAUCGGAUGUGCCCAGAUGGGAGUGGCUGGUAGGUGGGGUAACGGCUCACAUAGGCGCCGAUCCCUCGCUGGGCUGAGAGGCUGACCAGCCACACUGGAACUGAGACACGGUCCAGACUCCUACGUGAGGCAGAAGUGGGGAAUAUUGCACAAUGGGCGCAAGCCUGAUGCAGCCAUGCCGCGUGUAUGAAGAAGGCCUUGGGGUUGUAAAGUACUUUCAGCGAGAAGGCGUUACUCGCAGAAGAAGCACCGGCUAACUCCGUGCCAGCAGCCGCGGUAAUAC